UACAGAGGGUGCGAGCGUUAAUCGGAAUUACUGGGCGUAAAGCGUGCGCAGGCGGCCGCGCAAGUCGAGUGUGAAAUCCCCGAGCUUAACUUGGGAAUUGCGCUCGAAACUACGUGGCUGGAGUGUGGCAGAGGAAGGUGGAAUUCCACGUGUAGCGGUGAAAUGCGUAGAGAUGUGGAGGAACACCGAUGGCGAAGGCAGCCUUCUGGGCCAACACUGACGCUCAUGCACGAAAGCGUGGGGAGCAAACAGG
rnacentral:rRNA from 1 species